rnacentral:rRNA from 1 species
UACGUAGGGGGCGAGCGUUGUCCGGAUUUAUUGGGCGUAAAGAGCGUGUAGGCGGCUUUACAGGUCCGUUGUGAAAACUCGAGGCUCAACCUCGAGACGCCGGUGGAAACCGUAAAGCUAGAGUCCGGAAGAGGAGAGUGGAAUUCCUGGUGUAGCGGUGAAAUGCGCAGAUAUCAGGAGGAGCACCUAUUGCGAAGGCAGCUCGCUGGGACGUAACUGACGCUGAGACGCGAAAGCGUGGGGAGCAAACAGG